rnacentral:rRNA from 1 species
GAUGAACGCUGGCGGCGUGCCUAAUACAUGCAAGUCGAGCGAACAGACGAGGAGCUUGCUCCUCUGACGUUAGCGGCGGACGGGUGAGUAACACGUGGAUAACCUACCUAUAAGACUGGGAUAACUUCGGGAAACCGGAGCUAAUACCGGAUAAUAUAUUGAACCGCAUGGUUCAAUAGUGAAAGACGGUUUUGCGGUCACUUAUAGAUGGAUCCGCGCCGCAUUAGCUAGUUGGUAGGGUAACGGCUUACCAAGGCAACGAUGCGUAGCCGACCUGAGAGGGUGAUCGGCCACACUGGAACUGAGCCACGGUCCAGACUCCUACGGGAGGCAGCAGUAGGGAAUCUUCCGCAAUGGGCGAAAGCUUGACGGAGCAACGCCGCGUGAGUGAUGAAGGUCUUCGGAUCGUAAAACUCUGUUAUUAGGGAAGAACAAAUGUGUAAGUAACUAUGCACGUCUUGACGGUACCUAAUCAGAAAGCCACGGCUAACUACGUG